GACGAACGCUGGCGGCGUGCUUAACACAUGCAAGUCGAACGGAAAGGCCCUGCUUUUGUGGGGUGCUCGAGUGGCGAACGGGUGAGUAACACGUGAGUAACCUGCCCUUGACUUUGGGAUAACUGCAGGAAACUGGGGCUAAUACCGGAUAGGAGCUCCUGCUGCAUGGUGGGGGUUGGAAAGUUUCGGCGGUUGGGGAUGGACUCGCGGCUUAUCAGCUUGUUGGUGGGGUAGUGGCUUACCAAGGCUUUGACGGGUAGCCGGCCUGAGAGGGUGACCGGCCACAUUGGGACUGAGAUACGGCCCAGACUCAUAAGGGAGGCAGCAGUGGGGAAUAUUGCACAAUGGGCGGAAGCCUGAUGCAGCAACGCCGCGUGCGGGAUGACGGCCUUCGGGUUGUAAACCGCUUUCGCCUGUGACGAAGCGUGAGUGACGGUAAUGGGUAAAGAAGCACCGGCUAACUACGU
rnacentral:rRNA from 1 species